GGUCCCAUGGUGUAAUGGUUAGCACUCUGGACUUUGAAUCCAGUGAUCCGAGUUCGAGUCUCGGUGGGACCU
rnacentral:tRNA from 1 species